rnacentral:rRNA from 1 species
UACGGGGGGAGCAAGCGUUGUUCGGAUUUACUGGGCGUAAAGGGCGCGUAGGCGGUCAGCACAAGUCAGUUGUGAAAUCUCCGGGCUUAACUCGGAAAGGUCAACUGAUACUGUGCGACUAGAGUGCAGAAGGGGCAACUGGAAUUCUCGGUGUAGCGGUGAAAUGCGUAGAUAUUGAGAGGAACACCUGCGGCGAAGGCGGGUUGCUGGGCUGACACUGACGCUGAGACGCGAAAGCGUGGGGAGCAAACAGG